UACGGGGGGCNGCAGUGGGGAAUAUUGCACAAUGGGCGCAAGCCUGAUGCAGCCAUGCCGCGUGUAUGAAGAAGGCCCUAGGGUUGUAAAGUACUUUCAGUCGGGAGGAAGGCGUUGAUGCUAAUAUCAUCAACGAUUGACGUUACCGACAGAAGAAGCACCGGCUAACUCCGUGCCAGCAGCCGCGGUAAUACGGAGGGUGCAAGCGUUAAUCGGAAUUACUGGGCGUAAAGCGCACGCAGGCGGUUGAUUAAGUUAGAUGUGAAAUCCCCGGGCUUAACCUGGGAAUGGCAUCUAAGACUGGUCAGCUAGAGUCUUGUAGAGGGGGGUAGAAUUCCAUGUGUAGCGGUGAAAUGCGUAGAGAUGUGGAGGAAUACCGGUGGCGAAGGCGGCCCCCUGACAAAG
rnacentral:rRNA from 2 species